rnacentral:rRNA from 1 species
ACAUGUAGGCGGUAAUCUAAGCUUGGUGUGAAAGGCAGGGCUUAACUCCUGGACAGCAUUGAGAACUGGAUUGCUAGAGUUACUGAAGUGAAAUCAGAAUUCCAGGUGUAGGGGUGAAAUCUGUAGAUAUCUGGAAGAAUACCAAUGGCGAAGGCAGGUUUCAGGCAGAUAACUGACGCUGAGGUGCGAAGGUGCGGGGAAGCAAAACA